AUUGAACGCUGGCGGCAGGCCUAACACAUGCAAGUCGAACGAGUGGCGGACUGGUGAGUAAUGUCUGGGAAACUGCCUGAUGGAGGGGGAUAACUACUGGAAACGGUAGCUAAUACCGCAUACCAUCAGAUGUACACAUAUGGGAUUAGCUUGUGGGUGGUGUAACGGCUCACCAAGGCGCCGAUCCCUAGCUGGUCUGAGAUGAUGACCAGCCACACUGGAACUGAGCCACGGUCCAGACUCCUACGGGAGGCAGCAGUGGGGAAUAGUGCACAAGUGGCGCAAGCCUGAUGCAGCCAUGCCGCGUGUAUGAAGGAGGCCUUCGGGUUGUAAAGUACUUUCAGCGGGGAGGCGUUACCCGCAGAAGAAGCACCGGCUAACUCCGUGCCAGCAGCCGCGGUAAUUC
rnacentral:rRNA from 1 species